AUUGAACGCUGGCGGCAGGCCUAACACAUGCAAGUCGAGCGAGAGGCGGACGGGUGAGUAAUGUAAGGGGAUCUGGCAGUUAGGGGGGGAUAACUACUGGGAACGGUAGCUAAUACCGCAUACUAUCGGAUCAACGCCUGUGGGAUUAGCUAGUAGGUGAGGUAAUGGCCAACCUAGGCGACGAUCCCUAGCUGGUCUGAGAGGAUGAUCAGCCACACUGGGACUGAGACACGGCCCAGACUCCUACGGGAGGCAGCAGUGGGGAAUAUUGCACAAUGGGCGCAAGCCUGAUGCAGCCAUGCCGCGUGUGUGAAGAAGGCCCUAGGGUUGUAAAGCACUUUCAGUUGGGAGGCGUUACCGACAGAAGAAGCACCGGCUAACUCCGUGCCAGCAGCCGCGGUAAUAC
rnacentral:rRNA from 1 species